rnacentral:rRNA from 1 species
GAUGAACGCUGGCGGCGUGCCUAAUACAUGCAAGUCGAGCGAACGGACGAGAAGCUUGCUUCUCUGAUGUUAGCGGCGGACGGGUGAGUAACACGUGGAUAACAUAACUAUCAGACUGGGAUAACUUCGGGAAACCGGAGCUAAUACCGGAUAAUAUUUUGAACCGCAUGGUUCAAAAGUGAAAGACGGUCUUGCUGUCAGUUAAAGAUGGAUCCGCGCUGCAUUCGUUAGGUGGGAAGGUAACGGGUUACCCAGGCAACGAGGCAUAAACGACCCGAGGGGGUGAUCGCCCACACUGGAAGUGAGACACGGCACAGACUCCUACGGUGGGCAGCAGUAGAGACUCUUCCGCGAUGGGCGAAAGCCGGACGUAGCAACGCCGCGUGAAUGAUGAAGGUCUUCGGAUCGUAGAACUCUGUAAUUAGGGGAGUACAUAUGUGUAAGUAACUGUGCACAUCUUGACGGUACCGAAUCAGAAAGCCACGGCUAACUACGUG